ensembl:lncRNA
CUCGCACUCCUGCUGAAGUUGACAUUCUGGCGCUUACUGGCUGCUAUAUAUAGCACUCAUCGCCGUGCUGUUACUAUUCCCAGCAUUGUACAUGAGGGGGCGGGCGUUGCUUUUCUUUAGUAAAAGGAAGAAUACAAAGUUUUAGUUCACAAUGGAUGCAUUUAUUUCUCCGUGUAGAGCUAGCACACCUGAUUCAACUUGUCAAGCAAGCCCUUGACUAAGUAGCUGGUUCAUGUGAGUUUGUUCAGGACUACAACAACAUUUCCCGAGAAGAGAUUUGGGGACCACUGCUGUAAGGAUAAAGACUUGGAUUCGAAAUGAGUUCUCCUGCUCAAGUCGACUACUCACUGAGGAACCGUUUCAACGCUCAGUCUUUCUGAUGUUUAUUCUUCUAUUCUAUUCCUGGUGCUGCUGCUCCACCUCCACUUCCUGGUUAUUUUCGGCAGUGUGUGUUUUGGUGUCAGGCUCCGCGGAUGGUGGGUUUGGGAAAUACCUGGUCACGAUAAAUCAGGGGGGAGGUUUAGCUAAGAACAUGUCACCCCCUACUGCAUGGGAAGGAGAAAUGCAUGCAUAUACGGAUGUUAGUAGAUACAUAAAGUGCUGUAUUUGUAUUUGCCCCGUUUCUAAUUUUGCAUUUUUUCUUUUAAAUAUUAAAUGUUAUCAGAUCUUCAACUUCCAAUGGCCCUAUGGGGAAAAAGUAAUUGCCCCCAUACACUCGAAAUUGGGUAAAGUGUUAUGAAAUAUUAUGUAAUAUUUUAAAUUGUAUAUAACUGUCUUAAUGUUACUGGACCCCAGGAAUAGUAGCUGCUGCCAUGGCAACAACUAAUGGGGAUCUUUAAUAAAUACAAAA